UUCGAUCUUUCCCCCUCUCCUCUCGCGUUUUCCCGUCUCCUCUCGCGUUCGCUGGGGGUGGAGCGGCAUCUAGGGUUUGUGCGCCGGCCGGCCGCCCUCCCCGCACGACGCCGGCGCCGUCCUCCCCGCCCGACGCCGCCCCUUCUCCUCCCCGUCCGACGCCGACUCCGCCCGACGCCGGCGCCGCUCCCCUCUGCUUGUCCCUGGCCGGCGCCGAACCUGCUACUCCCCGCCCGACGCCGGCGCCGCCGACGCCGCUCUGUUCCUCCCCGACCGGCGCCGACCUGCUCCUCCCAGCCCGGAGCCCGACGCCGGCACCUCUCAUCCAGCCCAUGCCGCCCGAUGCCGCCCCUGCUCCGACGACGGCGUCCGCAGUCCGCCCAACGCAGGCUUGACAGGUGCUCCGACGACGGACGCCGGCUUGACAACUUAGCCUGCUGCUCUAGGUUAAACCAUGACAAUAAUAGACUAUGUUGACCUGUGCGAUGAUGAGGAGAUUAUUGUAGAAGAACCUGGUCCUCAUGGACAAGUUCAUGCAGCUGACAUGCAUGUAGAAUUAGUUGACUUGACCACUGAAGGAGAUGGUGUGGAAGAUCAAAAUAUUCCUGGCAAAGAUGAUGCUGUUCUGUGUACAACAUUACACAGUCCAAAUUUUAUUGCAGCUCAUGGUCAAGGUGAAACAGCUCACCUCAUAGUAACAUUGUGUAAACAGGGAUUCAUUGCAGUAGUUGAUGAUGCAGAAGAGGCUAUGCAAUCUGGAAAUAAGGAGCUGUCUGCAGCAAAUGAUGGCAAGGGAGAGGCCAUGCAAUCUGCAGAUCAGGGGAUUGUUGUGGCAGGUGAUUGCACGGAAGAGGUUAUGAUGUCUGGAAAUCAGGACUUUGCUUCAGCAGUUGCUGACGCAGAAGAGACAAUGCAGUCUGGAACUCAGGAAUUUGUUGCAGAAGGUGAUCACUCAAGAGAUGCUAUGCAGUUUGGAAAUGCUGGUCAAGCUUCCACAUGCUCAUCAAUGUCAGAGCAAGGUGCUAUCACAUACUCAUCAAUGACAGAACAAAUUGCUACUGCAUCCUCAUCAAUGACUGGGCAAUGGAGUAGGGAGGCAGCUGCUUUUCUAUGUUCACGUCCCAUGUCUAUUGCAUUGCCAUUCCCCCGGCAGUUCUGGAAAGCUGGGGAAUACAGUGUUGCUGCUCAACCCACCAUCAACAGUGAUCAGAACCACUUAAGGAUUCACCCCAAGUUUCUUCAUUCGAAUGCUACUUCACACAAGUGGGCAUUUGGUGCUAUUGCAGAACUUCUCGACAAUGCUGUUGAUGAGGUGAACAAUGGAGCAACCUUUGUGAAGAUAGAUAAGAUAAAAUGUUCUCUCAUUGAUGAGUAUUCAUUGGUAAUACAAGAUGAUGGAGGUGGUAUGAGUCCAGAGUCUCUUCGACAUUGCAUGAGCUUUGGGUUCUCCAAAAAAAGUGGGAAUUCAUCCAUUGGACAAUAUGGAAAUGGGUUCAAAACCAGCACAAUGAGACUUGGAGCAGAUGUUAUUGUAUUCAGCUGCACACAAGAUAAUAGGAGAUUGACACGGAGUAUUGGUCUACUCUCUUAUACAUUCCUUACAAAAACUGGCUGCAAUGACAUAUUAGUACCAGUGGUUGAUUAUGAAUUUGAUGAAUCAUCUCAUACUCUCAAGAAGAUAAUGGACCGUGGUGAGAAACAUUUUUCUUCCAAUUUGUCCACUCUUUUGAAGUGGUCUCCAUUUACUACAGAAGAUGAUUUAUUGAAUCAAUUUGGAGACAUGGGAUGCCAUGGUACCAAACUAAUUGUGUUCAACUUGUGGUUCAACGAUGCAUGGGAAAUGGAACUUGACUUUGCAUCUGAUGAAGAGGAUAUUAUGAUCUCAGGAGCACCUGCCAUGCCAGAUGGAAAGAAGACAGUAGGAAGGCUAAAUCAUAUGCAUGUCGCAAAUCGCUUUCGAUAUUCACUUCGUGUUUAUGCAUCUAUACUAUAUCUUCAGCUACCAAAACACUUCAAAGUUAUCCUGUGUGGACAAGUUGUUGAGCCACAUCACAUUGUCAAUGAUCUCAUAUACUGUGAAUGCAUCAAAUAUCGACCACAAGUUGGAAUAAACAUAGAGGUUGACGUUAUUACUACAAUUGGCUACUUAAGAGGUGCUCCAAAACUGGAUAUACAUGGAUUUAAUGUCUACCACAAGAACCGCCUUAUACUGCCCUUUUGGUGUGCUCACCCUGAUAAAAGUCACAGCAAAGGCAUUGCUGGGGUUUUGGAGGCAAACUUCAUAAGACCUACUCAUGAUAAACAAGAUUUUGAGAAGACGGGACUUUUCCAUAGACUUGAGACACGGUUGAAAGAAAUGACACUGGAGUAUUGGAAGCACCAUGCUCAUUUAGUUGGAUAUGCUCGAGUCACAAAAGCACUUCCUCCAGCUCAUUAUGCAUCCACUGUUGCUCGUGAUGAUAGUUUAGCAGCUCAAGCUUCCACAGUGGCUUAUGAUGACAAUUCAAGAGCCAGAGAAUCUGUAUUGUUUGACAUGUCUUCCAAUGGAGAGUCAUCCAAAAGAAGAAAUUCAUGCUCAGUGAUUCAUUGGAGGGCUCAAAAAAGGCAGCACAUCAAUGAUUACGCUAAUCAACCUCCAGACGUCAAUGCUGUUCAGAUGCAAGAUGAAAGGAUCAGACAUUUAAUCUGUCAGAAGAAGGUGCUAAAGGAUGAGUGCUCUAAACUUGAGGCAUCAGAGCAGCAACUCUUAUGUAAGAUCAAGGAGCUGAAGGAGAAGAUGCUAGGCUCUGGAAUGCCCUGGCCUGGAGAUGAAGGUGACCAAAACGUUGGGAGCAAGCAUGGAUGGCAAUUAAAAAGUACAUUUUCUCAUAACAUACUCAUGGGAUCAUUUGACACCACAAAUGGCACCUGGAUUUGUUAUAGGUUUGGGCGUUAAAAUGGAAUGAAAGAGCAUAUUUUAGCACUCGCAAGGUGAAGCUUGAUCAUGACUACCUUUCCAUGACUGUACUUGUACAAGAAAUUGUCAACGCAGACUAUGCCUUUGUCAUUUACACUACUAACCCAUCAUCGGGAGAUUCGUCUGAGAUAUAUGCUGAAGUGGUGAAAGGGCUUGGAGAAACACUUGUAGGACAGUAGGAGCCUAUCCUAGUCGCGCCAUGAGCUUCGUAUGUAAGAAAAACGACCUUGACUCUCCCAAGGUACUGGGUUUCCCAAGCAAGCAAAUUGGUCUCUUCAUAAAGAGAUCAAUCAUCUUUCGUUCAGAUUAGGGUAUGCUGGAGCAGCAGUAUAUGAUAGUGUCCCUAUGGAUGAGGAAGAUGAAGUCGUACUCGACUACACCACAGACCCCCUCAUUACAGAUCAGGGAUCCAAAAAUCAAUCCUCUCGAGCAUUGCACGGGCUGGUCAUGCCAUUGAGGAUUUCUAUGGGUCACCACAGGG